CGCUGGAACUCACAACAGACA
rnacentral:miRNA from 1 species